rnacentral:tRNA from 1 species
GGUCCCGUAGCUCAGCAGGAUAGAGCGACAGAUUCCUAAUCUGUAGGUCACGCGUUCGAAU